CAAGCGUUAUCCGGAAUCAUUGGGUUUAAAGGGUCCGUAGGCGGGCAUAUAAGUCAGUGGUGAAAUGCUGUGGCUCAACCAUAGCACUGCCAUUGAUACUGUAUGUCUUGAAUUAUUGUGAAGUGGUUAGAAUAUGUAGUGUAGCGGUGAAAUGCUUAGAUAUUACAUAGAAUACCGAUUGCGAAGGCAGAUCACUAACAAUAUAUUGACGCUGAUGGACGAAAGCGUAGGUAGCGAACAGGAUUAGAUACCCUGGUAGUCCACGCCGUAAACGUUGGGCGCUAGGUGUGGGUCCCAUUCCACGGGGUCCGUGCCGCAGCUAACGCAUUAAGCGCCCCGCCU
rnacentral:rRNA from 14 species